AGCCACCCUGACCCUGCAGCUCUGCACAGGAGCCCAGCCCUGGACUCCAGCUCAUCCCACUCAGUGGUCAGGACUCAACACAGGCUGCUCACCAUGGAGAGUGUGCUCAGCUGGGUUUUCCUUGUGGCUGUUUUCAAAGGUGUGCAGUGUGAGGUGCAGCUGGUGGAGUCUGGGGGAGGCCUGGUGCAGCCUGGGGGUUCCCUGCGACUCUCCUGUGCAGCCUCUGGAUUCACCUUCAGUAGCUCCUACAUGAACUGGGUCCGCCAGGCUCCAGGGAAGGGGCUGGAGUGGGUUGCUGUUAUAAGAACCAAAGCUAAUAGUUACACCACUGAAUAUGGAGCAUCUGUAAAAGGCCGAUUCACCAUCUCCAGAGACGACGCAAAGAACACGCUGUACCUGCAAAUGAGCAGCCUGAGAGCCGAGGACACGGCCACCUAUUACUGUGCCAGAGAUUUCCCCUACUGGGGCCAGGGCACCCUGGUCACCGUCUCCUCAGAGCCCAUGACCAAGCCCAGAGUCUUCCCGCUGAGUGGCCUUCGGGCCGAGUCAAAUAACCAAGUGAUCCUCGGCUGCCUGGUUCGGGACUUCUUCCCUUCGGGGCCUGUGAACGUGACCUGGAGCAAGAGUGGAGAGGACGUGACCGUCAUUAGCUUCCCGCCUGCCCAGGCCACAGGGGGCCUGUACAUCAUGAGCAGCCAGCUGACCCUGCCAGCCUCCCAGUGCCCAGAGGACACGUCCCUGACAUGCUACGUGCAGCACACCUUAAACCCCACCCAGGACGUGGCCGUGCCCUGCGAAGGUCCAAGGCCGAAUCUAUGCACAUGUGGCCAACCCCACCUGUCCCUGCACCGGCCGGCCCUUGAGGACCUGCUCUUGGGCUCUGACGCCAGCCUCACGUGCACACUGAGUGGCCUGAGGAACCCGGAGGGGGCCGUCUUCACCUGGCAGCCCUCGGGCGGGAAGGACGCCAUCCAGAAGUCCCCUGAGCGUGACUCCUGUGGCUGUUACAGCGUGUCCAGCAUCCUGCCAGGCUGUGCCGAGCCCUGGAACCGCGGGCAGGUCUUCACGUGCACAGCCACGCAUCCUGAGUCCAGCAAUGCGCUGACCGCCACCAUCAGCAAAGCCUCAGAGAACACCUUCCGGCCCCAGGUCCACCUGCUGCCGCCGCCGUCGGAGGAGCUGGCCCUGAACGAGCUGGUGUCGCUCACGUGCCUGGUGCGGGGCUUCAGCCCUGAGGACGUGCUGGUGCGCUGGCUGCACGGGAACCAGGAGCUGCCCAGCAGCGACUACCUGACCUGGAGUCCCCUGAAGGAGCCCGAGCAGGGCCCCACCACCUUCGCCGUGACCAGUGUGCUGCGUGUGACGGCUGCGUCCUGGAAGCAGGGGGACAACUUCUCCUGUAUGGUGGGCCACGAGACCCUGCCCAUGGCCUUCACCCAAAAGACCAUCGACCGCCAGUCGGGUAAACCCACCCACGUCAACGUGUCCGUGAUCAUGGCCGAGGCUGAUGGCACCUGCUACUGAGCCGCCCUGCCCCAGCCCUUGAAUAAACUCCAUGCUCGUCGCA